GUUGUAAGGGAAGAACACGUACGAGAGUAACUGCUCGUACCUUGACGGUACCUUAUUAGAAAGCCACGGCUAACUACGUGCCAGCAGCCGCGGUAAUACGUAGGUGGCAAGCGUUGUCCGGAAUUAUUGGGCGUAAAGCGCGCGCAGGCGGUUCUUUAAGUCUGAUGUGAAAGCCCACGGCUCAACCGUGGAGGGUCAUUGGAAACUGGAGAACUUGAGUACAGAAGAGGAAAGCGGAAUUCCA
rnacentral:rRNA from 1 species